rnacentral:sRNA from 1 species
UGACCACCUGGUAUUUUGAUUGAUGAUACUGAGGUUAUGGCCAUACGGACAGCCAGGUCAACUGCCG